rnacentral:tRNA from 1 species
GGACUCUAACUUAGUGGAAGAGCUUUUGCUUUCCAUGCAGAAAGUCCUAGGUUCAAUUCCUGACAUCUCCA